rnacentral:rRNA from 1 species
AUACGUAGGGGGCGAGCGUUGUCCGGAAUGAUUGGGCGUAAAGGGCGCGUAGGCGGCCCGGUAAGUCUGGAGUGAAAGUCCUGUUUUUAAGAUGGGAAUUGCUUUGGAUACUGUCGGGCUUGAGUGCAGGAGAGGUAAGUGGAAUUCCCAGUGUAGCGGUGAAAUGCGUGGAGAUUGGGAGGAACACCAGUGGCGAAGGCGACUUACUGGACUGUAACUGACGCUGAGGCGCGAAAGUGUGGGGAGCAAACAGGAUUAGAUACCCUGGUAGUCCACACUGUAAACGAUGAAUGCUAGGUGUAGGGGGUAUCGACCCCUUCUGUGCCGCAGUCAACACAAUAAGCAUUCCGCCUGGGGAGUACGGCCGCAAGGUUGAAACUCAAAUGAAUUGACGGGG